rnacentral:rRNA from 1 species
UACGGAGGGGGCUAGCGUUGUUCGGAAUUACUGGGCGUAAAGCGCGCGUAGGCGGCUUUGUAAGUUAGGGGUGAAAGCCCGGAGCUCAACUCCGGAAUAGCCCUUAAGACUGCAUCGCUAGAACGUCGGAGAGGUGAGUGGAAUUCCGAGUGUAGAGGUGAAAUUCGUAGAUAUUCGGAAGAACACCAGUGGCGAAGGCGACUCACUGGACGACUGUUGACGCUGAGGUGCGAAAGCGUGGGGAGCAAACAGG